GUACUCAGUAGGUAGGGGUAAAAUCCUUUGAUCUAUUGAUGACCACCUGUGGCGAAGGCGGUCUACCAGAACACGUUCGACGGUGAGGGAUGAAAGCUGGGGGAGCAAACCGGAUUAGAUACCCGGGUAGUCCCAGCUGUAAACGAUGCAGACUAGAUGAUGCAUUGGCAUAAUAGCCAUUGCAGUGUCUCAGGGAAGCCGUUAAGUCUGCCGCCUGGGAAGUACGUACGCAAGUAUGAAACUUAAAGGAAUUGGCGGGGGAGCACCACAAGGGGUGAAGCCUGCGGUUCAAUUGGAGUCAACGCCAGAAAUCUUACCCGGAGAGACAGCAGAAUGAAGGUCAAGCUGAAGACUUUACCAGACAAGCUGAGAGGUGGUGCAUGGCCGUCGCCAGCUCGUGCCGUGAGAUGUCCUGUUAAGUCAGGUAACGAGCGAGAUCCCUGCCGCUAGUUACUAUCAUUAUUCUCAGGAAUAGUGGAGCGAAUUAGCGGGACUGCCGUUGUUAAAACGGAGGAAGGAAGGGGCUACGGCAGGUCAGUAUGCCCCGAAACUCUGGGGCCACACGCGGGCUGCAAUGGUAGUGACAAUGAGUUCCAAACUCGAAAGAGAGUGGCAAUCUCUAAAC
rnacentral:rRNA from 1 species